GCCAGGUAGGGCUGUUGUCCUUAGACAGUGUAAAAGUUUUGAAAAGGCAGCAGAAAGUCAAAAGAGAUGACCCCAAGGAAAUGAGGAAGGCGAGUGUUAUCAUCUGUGGACUGACUACAAUUCACUCACAGCAAUAGCUAAUAUUGGAGUUCUUAUUUUUUCUAGGUGCUUGAACACAGAACAUCUCACUUAACUCUUAGCACAAUCCUUAAGAGCCAAAUGUGUGAUCCCCCUCCAGAAAAGACUUGAGUCUUUACAGUUGGAAUUUCCGUGUCGUGAGUGACAGGAUCUUGGUCCAUCACCCAGGCUGGAAUACAGUGGUGCAAUUAUAGUUCACUGCGGCCUCAAAUUCCUGCACUCAACAGAUCCUCCCACCUCAGCCUCGCAACUGGCUGGGACUACAGGGAUGCACCACC
rnacentral:lncRNA from 1 species